rnacentral:rRNA from 1 species
AUUGAACGCUGGCGGCAGGCCUAACACAUGCAAGUCGAGCGGAUGACGGGAGCUUGCUCCUUGAUUCAGCGGCGGACGGGUGAGUAAUGCCUAGGAAUCUGCCUGGUAGUGGGGGACAACGUUUCGAAAGGAACGCUAAUACCGCAUACGUCCUACGGGAGAAAGAAGGGGACCUUCGGGCCUUGCGCUAUCAGAUGAGCCUAGGUCGGAUUAGCUAGUAGGUGAGGUAAUGGCUCACCUAGGCGACGAUCCGUAACUGGUCUGAGAGGAUGAUCAGUCACACUGGAACUGAGACACGGUCCAGACUCCUACGGGAGGCAGCAGUGGGGAAUAUUGGACAAUGGGCGAAAGCCUGAUCCAGCCAUGCCGCGUGUGUGAAGAAGGUCUUCGGAUCGUAAAGCACUUUAAGUUGGGAGGAAGGGCAGUAAGUUAAUACCUUGCUGUUUUGACGUUACCGACAGAAUAAGCACCGGCUAACUCUGUGCCAGCAGCCGCUGUAAUAC